AUAUUUACCAUCAUGUUUCAAAGCACGUGGCAUCUAUGGCGAAUAAGUUUACCAUCUGCAUCCUCCGUAAAGGAGAGCGAUGUGUGGAGUGAUCCAGUGCUACCAUUUAAUUCACCAUCUGACGAAGAUCCCCCAGAGGAGAGGUAUG